CACGUAGGGUGCGAGCGUUGUCCGGAAUUAUUGGGCGUAAAGAGCUCGUAGGCGGUGUGUCGCGUCGGCCGUGAAAACCUGCAGCUUAACUGUGGGCUUGCGGUCGAUACGGGCAUCACUGGAGUUCGGCAGGGGAGACUGGAAUUCCUGGUGUAGCGGUGGAAUGCGCAGAUAUCAGGAGGAACACCGGUGGCGAAGGCGGGAUCCUGGGCCAGUACUGACGCUGAGGAGCGAAAGCAUGGGGAGCGAACAGG
rnacentral:rRNA from 1 species